rnacentral:rRNA from 1 species
UCUACGGGGUGCAGCAGUGGGGAAUAUUGGACAAUGGGCGAAAGCCUGAUCCAGCCAUGCCGCGUGUGUGAAGAAGGCCUUCGGGUUGUAAAGCACUUUCAGUGGGGAAGAAAGCCUUGGGGCUAAUACCCUCGAGGAAGGACAUCACCCACAGAAGAAGCACCGGCUAACUCCGUGCCAGCAGCCGCGGUAAUACGGAGGGUGCGAGCGUUAAUCGGAAUUACUGGGCGUAAAGCGCGCGUAGGCGGUCUGAUAAGCCGGUUGUGAAAGCCCCGGGCUCAACCUGGGAACGGCAUCCGGAACUGUCAGGCUAGAGUGCAGGAGAGGAAGGUAGAAUUCCCGGUGUAGCGGUGAAAUGCGUAGAGAUCGGGAGGAAUACCAGUGGCGAAGGCGGCCUUCUGGACUGACACUGACGCUGAGGUGCGAAAGCGUGGGUAGCAAACAGGAUUAGAUACCCGUGUAGUC